rnacentral:rRNA from 1 species
CCCUUAGAUGUCCUGGGCCGCACGCGCGCUACACUGAUGCAUGCAACGAGUUUAUAACCUUGGCCUGAAAGGUCUGGGUAAUCUUUUGAACGUGCAUCGUGAUAGGGAUAGAUUAUUGCAAUUGUUAAUCUUGAACGAGGAAUUCCUAGUAAACGCGAGUCAUCAGCUCGCAUUGAUUACGUCCCUGCCCUUUGUACACACCGCCCGUCGCACCUACCGAUUGAAUGGUCCGGUGAAAUCUUCGGACCGUGACUUUGAUUUGUUUACUCAAAACGCUGUUACGGGAAGUUGAUUAAACCUUACCAUUUAGAGGAAGGUGAAGUCGUAACA